AUUAGUUUUUUAAUUGAAGGCUAGAAUGAAUGGUUGGACAAGAAAUAAUCUGUCUUAAUUAAAGAUAUUGAAUUUAACUUUUGAGUGAAAAGGCUUAAAUGAUCUGAAGGGACGAUAAGACCCUAUAAAACUUUAUAUUAGGGGUGGAAAUUAGUUUUAUUUAGAGGUUACUAUCUUUAUAAUAUUUGGUUGGGGCGACAGGGAUAAAAGGAAAAGUAACUGUCUUUUUUUAAAACAGUAAUAUUUGGUUGAAUGAUCCUAAAAUGGAUUAAAGAUUAAGUUACUUUAGGGAUAACAGCGUAAUUUUCUUUAAGAGUUCUUAUCGACAGGAAAGUUUGCGACCUCGAUGUUGAAUUAAAGGUUCUUUAUAGAGUAGAAGCUAUAAAAGAAGGUCUGUUCGACCUUUAAAAUUUUACAUGAUUUGAGUUCA
rnacentral:rRNA from 1 species